UACGUAGGGUGCAAGCGUUGUCCGGAAUUAUUGGGCGUAAAGAGCUCGUAGGCGGUCUGUCGCGUCGGCUGUGAAAUCCCGGAGCUCAACUCCGGGUCUGCAGUCGAUACGGGCAAACUGGAGUACUGCAGGGGAGACUGGAAUUCCAGGUGUAGCGGUGAAAUGCGUAGAUAUCUGGAGGAACAUCAGUGGCGAAGGCGGCUUCCUGGUCCAACACUGACACUGAGGUGCGAAAGCGUGGGGAGCAAACAGG
rnacentral:rRNA from 1 species